AGAGGAGGGACACUUACCUGCCAGGGGAGGGAUCGCCUGAGCACACCUGCUCCCAGCUGCCCCGCAUGGCCUCCUCCUCUCUGUGGUGACUUGUCAGUUAGCCAUAGACUGCCCGCACGCAGCAGUGCUUCCAUUGUGGUCCUGAGAAAUGUGAAAGAUGCCCCGAGGUGCUGCAGAGUUAACUCGGAUCCAGGCCCUUCUGGGGGCCAAGCCGCCCGCACCGGGAGAGCUGCGUUUCUUUCUUCAGCGUCCUGCCCUCCGUGGCUGCAGGAUUUUCUUGGAAGGUGAAAGGCAGACAUUUUGGGAGCCACUAACAGACUUCCUGAACCUUCACUGAUGAGGAGUCAAACACUUCUGAGAGAGCGGCCGUGUGAUCCAAAAAGAGGAGCCAGGAUAAAGGAACAGAUGGAGGCAUGAGGUAAGUGCUUCUUAGCACUCGAAGAAUCAGGAAGAUUUUCAGAAACAGGAAUUAGCAAUCUGGAAGGAAAGCUCAGAAUAACACGGUUGUUUCCUGCGCAGUGGAAGGCCUUGGGCUGCGCCUCCCUCCACCUGUGAUCUGCGUUAACGGGCCCCUUGCUGCAGGUGUUGGCAGUGGUAGUUUUCUAGACGGAACCUCACACCCCCGAAUGGCUGUCAGUGUGUGUGUGGAGACUCAGGAGUCACCUGUGCAGGGCUUGUGAGUUUCCUAGAGAAAGAGACGGACCAUGUUCUCAAAACUGUGCCUCGAGUCCACUCCUUCUUCAUGGGUGUGCAGGCGCAAAGCCACAACCUCCACCCUGCUCUCCCUCCUGUGUCUCUUCCCCCGGUGUCUGUGCAAAUACGGGUGUCUUCGUGUCUAAGUGAGAGAGUCUUUGUGGGUCGACAGCACAUCUGAGCUGUUGGUCACCUACAGCGUGCAUAAUGGCUGGCACUGGUCUCCCCUUUCUUGAUAUGGCAGCAGGUAAGCAUCUUCGCUGGAGACACACUGCUGUCAAACGGGAGUAGGACCCCUGGCUCUAGCAGCCCUACUGGCUGGAAUCACCAGCUUUGUGCCUGGAAUUUGGCUGCAGUAAAACACUCUUCUCUCCCGCAGAGAGGGCGGGAUGGUGCCCACAGCCAGGGUGCCAUGCAGCACGUUCUGGUUACACCUGCCCCAGAUCAUCUGUGGAUGGAGUGUGGGUGCUGAUCCUUCAUGGGGGUCCUCCUGGAGGCACUGCUCACAGCAGUGGAUGAGCUCAUUAACUUAAAUGCAUUUCACGGGUCGGUGCUUAGAUUCUCCAACCACGUGACCCUGCUAAUGAAGGCACCCUGCAAUCAGAACAGAAGCUCUGGGUUUGGACUUGAUGACUGUCAUCCAGAGUGAGUGCCAUCACAGGGGAGCAAUGGGCCUCCUUGCAGGGCACCAGGGAAGCGGGACGAUGUCAGAACCAGGAGCCAGUCAGCUCCCACUGCACCUUCUUCUCGCUCGCACAUUCCUGCACCUUUUGCUGGAAGAUAUUUGUCAUUUAGCUACCUGGAAGGGAUGAGAUGAGGACAAAUGGGGCUUAUAAAAGAAAAGUUAAGGCCGGGCGCCAUGGCUCACACCUGUAAUCCCAGCACUUUGGGAGGCCGAGGCAGGGAGAUCACAAGGUCAAGAGAUCGAGACCAUCCUGGCCAACAUGGUGAAACCCCGUCUCUAUGAAAAAUACAAAAAUUAGCUGGGUGUGGUGGCACGUGCCUGUAGUCCCAGCUACUUGGGAGGAUGAGGCAGGAGAAUCACUGGAACCCGAGAGGCGGAGGUUGCAGUGAGCCGAGACUGCGCCACUGCACUCCAGCCUGGGUGACAGAACGAGACUCCAUCUCAAAAAAAAAAAAAAAAGAAAAGAGAAAGAAAAGUUAAACUGCUUUUUUCUUUCCUGUACUGGUUGGCUUUCUAGCUGACUGGUCUCCGGUCAGUGAAUGGGUGCUGAGCUGCCACGAUGGGUGUUUACCCCCCAUUCAAUCAUCCUGCCACCCGCUGUGUUCCUUUGAACGCUCCCUUUCCCCUUCAUCCAGGCUCUGAUGGUGAGACUUCCUCUUAACCAGAAUCCAGAAUGGUGGAGCGAAUCUCCCAAAACCAUUCAGCACUAGCCCAGUGGUCCCUCAGAAACCCUCGUUUUGUAGGGACAGCCUCAGCCUUAAGGACCCCCAACAGUCUCAGAAUCAGAGGGGGUGCCUGGUCUCCCUCUGGGGGUGCUGCCAUCCUCACCUGGGAGCCAGGGGCAGCCUGCAGCUCCACUCUCAGUGGAGGCAGCACGGAGUCAUUGUGACGCAGAGUGAGGACACAGCCCUUGCCCUGUAACUCACGUGUUGAGAAUUUUACAGAUUAUAAGGCCACGUCUCUACAUCAGAGCUUCCACUCAGCCCUGGGGAGACCCUGCUGCUGGGGCCAGAUCCAGCAUGAGUGCCCACUCAGCACCCUGCAGCCAGGGGAGGCAGCAAGACUAAGCAGAAUCCCAUGGGCUCAGGCCAGUGGUUCUAGGAGCAAUGAUCCGGGGCUCCCUCAAUAUCUAAGAACAGAGAAUCCCCCACAUCACCAAAGGAAGGCAGUGCUGGCUUCGGAGCUUCUGUGCAUUGGGCACAGAAAAGAAGGCAUGGUUUCCCUGCUCCUGCUUUUCGAGGGGGUCACCCAAGACCUGGCACAGUCCCCAUUGUCCCUGAGGGAGGAGACAAAGCUUCACGCUGAGCACUUCCCAGCUAUGUGCACUAGUGCGUGGCCCACCUCCUGACCCCACAGGCCAGAACAUGGGAAAAGUCGGUAUCAGGCAAGGGGUGUUUCCUCCCCAGAAGUGGAAUGACGAGCGUGCCAUUUGGCUCAAGAGUUUCAGGGCUGCAGUUGACUGAGGUUAUCUGUGGACUUCAUCACUGCUGUUGCCAACUGAGAAUGUUUUGCAAGCUUGACUUUCACUGAUCACUUAAUAUCAGACUUUCUGGGCCAACAGUGAAUAAGAAGCUUUAAAUGAGAAAUCACUUUCUGUGUUUUUGAAGAUGUUAUUUUGUUCUGAGUUUAAAUGAACUCUUUUGACAUUUGGUUCAGCAGAGAGGAAGCAGAGAUGUGUGACAGGACAACAAAUCUUGGGGCCCCAAAAUCACUAAGCUAAAGGGAAAAGUCAAGCUGGGAACUGCUUAGGGCCAACCUGCCUCCCACUCUAUUCAAAGUCACCCUCUGCGGCUGGGCGCAGUAUCUCACGCCUGUAAUCCCAGUACUUUGGGAGGCCAAGGCAGGCAGAUCACCUGGGGUCAGGAGUUCGAGACCAGCCUGAACAACAUGGUGAAACCCCAUCCCUACUAAAAACACAAAAAAUUGGCCGGGCAUGGUGGCGGGCACUGUAGUCCCAGCUACUCAGAAGGCUGAGGCAGGAGAAUCACUUGAACCCGGGACACGGAGGUUGCAGUAAGCUAAGAUCGCACCAUUGCACUCCAGCCUGGGUGACAGAGCAAGACUCUGUCUCAAACAACAACAACAAUGAUGACGAAGCAAAGUCAUCCCUCUGCUCCCUGAGAUAAAUGCAGAUCUGAUUGCCUCCUUUGGAGAGGUUCAUCAGAAACUCAAAACAAUGCAACCAUUUGUCUCUUAUCUACCCCUGACCGGAAGCUCCCUGCCUGCUUCCAGUCUUCCCGCCUUUGCUUCCGGUUGUCCCACCUUUCCGGACCAAACCAAUGCUCAUCUUGCAUAUAUUGAUUGAUGUCUCAUGUCUCCCUAAAAUGUAUAAAACCAAGCUGUGCUAGGACCACCCUGAGUACCUGUGGUCAGGACCUCCUGAGGCUGUGUCAUGGGUGCACGUCCUUAACUGUGGCAAAAUAAACUUCCUAAAUUCACUGAGACCUGUCUCAGUUAUUCAGCAUUCAUGGAUGUGUGAUGUCUCCUGGGUUCUCUGCGUUCCUACUCACCCCCUCCCCACGCCUCUCCACUGGUCUUGCUAGAUGAUAAAUGAUUGGCCUGCUCUAAGUCAGAAUUUGCUCCCAGCCUCUGAGAGUUCCUCCCUCUCAUCCACAUGCACACUCUGAACUGAAUGAGAGUGCCAGGACCUUCCCCCUGUUGUGUGGCAGUCUGUAAUAGCAGUGUGCCAUCUGCACCAUCCGGGGAAUCGAUUUAAGGACCCGAAAUAACCUGGUGUCAUUUGCACUGUCAUGAUGUGCUGGUUGAAACUGCUGUGAGCUCUAAGCUUGGCUCCCGGUUUAAAUAAAGCACCAGAUUGAAGCAUCUUCACUUUCUUUGCAUUUACUGUCAAUAUCUCUAAGGGCCGAAGCUCAAAUUUAAAAUACCACACUUGGUCUGAAAUCAUCUUGAUAGGAUUAAUUCAUGUUUUUAUCACUCUAAAGAAAAUAAUGUUGAAAUAUUCCAAAUAUAAAACUUAGGUAAAGAGAGAGGACCUUAUUCACAUCAUCUUCCUGUUUCUCUGGGUUUGUUUUCUAAGCUGUGUUACAUCCUUGAAAGGGCCUUCCAAUGUCUGAUCGCUGAACUGCC
rnacentral:lncRNA from 10 species